UACAGAGGUCCCGAGCGUUGUUCGGAUUCAUUGGGCGUAAAGGGUGCGUAGGCGGUCUUCUAAGUUUGAUGUGAAAUCCCGGGGCUUAACCCUGGAAUUGCAUUGAAUACUGGGGGACUGGAGUCCCGGAGAGGAAACUGGAAUUUACGGUGUAGCAGUGAAAUGCGUAGAGAUCGUAAGGAAGACCAGUGGCGAAGGCGAGUUUCUGGACGGGUACUGACGCUGAGGCACGAAGGCCAGGGGAGCAAACGGG
rnacentral:rRNA from 1 species